CAAUGUUAGAAACGAUUUCAUAGCAAUAGCCACUCCUUACUAGCAUCUACCAUGAGCCAACCUAGUGCUAGGCCCUUAAUCUGCUCACAUCGAGAGGAAGGAAGGCAGUUUGGGGUUAAUGGGCCAAGGAUAAGCCAUGUGAGGACUGCACCGGCUUACUGCAGGACCAUCCAUGGAUCAACGGAUCGGGGCAGUGGAGGGCUUGCAGCAGGCGGUUUCCCAUUUUAAAACUUCUGAAUAGUACAUUCAACAGCUGUGACACUGGCUAUCUCCACAAUCCUGGAUUCUUGUCUUGGUGCGCAGGCUCUGUACAAUGAAUAUUGCCAGGGGAAAGUAUGCCAGCAAAGAAGGAAAAUUCUCGCCUUUGUAUUACAGUUUUAAUAAACACCUUCCACAACUUUCA